rnacentral:lncRNA from 1 species
GAGGAAUACAUCAUGGUUUCUGCAAGCACAUGGAACAGUCAGUGGAUUUAAAAAAAAAAAAAAAAAAAGAUGGAAGGGAAAGGAGAAAUUAUUUUCUCAUCUUCUCAUGAUUUGAAGCCUUGCUCUACGUUCAUCUUAUUCCGAUGAAGAAAGGUGUAACUGGUGAAGUGUUCACUGAAGCACAGCAGAAAAAUGAGUGCUGCAGGAAACUGAGGGAAUGCUGCAGAGUUUUGGUGCAGUGAUUUGCAAAAUGGAUGGGACACUGGAAAUGUAUUUUUGGACUAGCUGGAAUUCUGAAAUCUCAAUGGUUCAGAAGAUGAGCCAUACCUUGGAUAUGCAGUGAUUGUAGACAAAAUCCCCUCUGUGGAACCGUUUGCAUCCGCAUAUGGAGCUAUCUCCUAUGUGACAAAUUGAACAUGAAGCAUCUAAAGCUGUCAUUCUGACCCUGGUAAGAUGGAGACUCAACUAAUAGCAUUGAGCAAAUCUGGAAAAUUGCAGUCAUGUUCAUGAGAAAUGUGAGAAAUGUGUGGCAUCACAGUGAAUAACUAAAGAACUUUUUUCCUCUGCA